rnacentral:rRNA from 1 species
GAUGAACGCUAGCGGAAGGCUUAAUACAUGCAAGUCGAGCGGUAGGUGGCUUCGGCCAUUGAGAGCGGCGCACGGGUGAGUAACGCGUACAUGACCUGCCUGUCAGAAGGGGAUAGCCCUGGGAAACUGGGAUUAAUACCCUAUGGUAUUGAUAUUAUGAAUGAUAUCAAUUAAAGUUGAGGCGCUGACAGAUGGAUGUGCGUCUGAUUAGCUAGUUGGUAGGGUAACGGCCUACCAAGGCGACGAUCAGUAGGGGGCGUGAGAGCGUGGUCCCCCCACACGGGUACUGAGACACGGACCCGACUCCUACGGGAGGCAGCAGUAAGGAAUAUUGGUCAAUGCCCGCAAGGGUGAACCAGCCAUUCCGCGUGGAGGAUGAAGGCCCUAU